CCAAGGGUUUGGCUGUUCGCCAAUUAAAGCGGCACGCGAGCUGGGUUCAGAACGUAAAUUACAUUGCGUUCUACGGUAGAAAUACCGUAUAAUAAAUGUGGCUUAUAUCGGUGAAACCCUACCUUUCCAACCGAACGGAAAAGAGGGUAAUACCGAGGGAAGAUUGAGAUUAUGUCAGAAAAACUUCUUGCGUAUAUUGCAGGUUUCUUGGAUGGUGACGGUUGUAUUAUGGCUCAAUUGGUCAAACGUCCCGGAUAUAUUUAUGGUUUUCAAAUCAGAGUAAGUAUUGUGUUUUAUCAGAAAACUAAUCAUAAGGAUUUUCUGAUUUGGCUCAAAACUAAAUUGAAAUCAGGUUAUAUCAGGGAUCGUAAUGACGGAAUGACAGAAUAUACAAUUGUCAGCCCAGAGUUGGUUCGGCAAGUACUUAUAAAACUUUUACCUCAUUUACGAUUAAAACGUGAGUUAGCAAAAAAAGUUUUAGUACUAUGCCAAAUCAUCUUAAUCAACAAGAAACAACAUAUUUCUCCCAAAGAGUUCUUAAAAAGAGCUCAAUUGGUGGAUGAAACUGUUAUAUACAAUUACUCAAAGAAACGUACAACAACUCGGGAAAGCGUUAAAGUUUUUCUUCAACAAAACAAUCUCAUUCCCCGUAACGACUGAUUCAAAUUGCUAAAGCAAGAGCAAUAAGAUGAAAUGGCUUCCGUCAACUGGCGGCCAUUACACGCCACCUCCUCCUUCAAUAGUUGUAUUGGAGAGGAUGAAGAUAUAGUCUGUGCCAUUAGUAAUAAUGGAAUAUCAUGCGUGAGACAGUUCGGUCUCUAUCUGCUGUGCAUGUAGGAAAUUUGAGAGGAGUCACUUCUAGUACGAGAGGACCGAAGUGAACAGACCGCUGGUGUACCAGUUGUUCUACCAAGAGCAUCGCUGGGUAGCUAUGUCCGGAAAGGAUAAGCGCUGAAAGCAUCUAAGUGCGAAGCCUCCCUCAAAAAAGAUUUCCCUUCGUAAGAAUAAGGACCCAAGUAGACUACUUGGUUGAUAGGCAACAGGUGUAAGUCCAGUAAUGGAUUCAGCCGAGUUGUACUAAUAGUCCGAUCACUUGACUUC
rnacentral:rRNA from 1 species